GCUGUUAUAUUUGUAAACGAAUAUCAUGUGGGUCAUAAAUGUCAUUGAUUGAAUUUAUUGCACUUAGGUAUCUAGGUAUCUUAACAGAGACAUAAGCAAUAACAUGUGCGGGUUCACCUGAAAAUCACUUUGGCAUCUCCCCUUCCUCAGUUGACCACAUAGGGACCGAAUCACAUGAAAAUCAAACGAAAUAACAGUUCUCAUCAAUAAUUGUCUCAGUAAUUAAACAGAAAUAUGAA
rnacentral:lncRNA from 1 species